CGCCCCGCAGGGAGGAGCCCCAGACCCAGACCCAGAGGCGAGCGCGAGACUCCACUCAGGCUCCUCCCUUUGGGGCGGGCCCUGGCUGCAGGCAGAGCGGGAGGGGCCACGGGAAACAAGCAUAGCAAUACAUAGACAUACAGAGGCGGCCCUAGGUAAUUUUCAACGGUCUGUUGGAUUUUCGGUAUCCUGUAAUCUUGAAACCCUGGAACCUUGAACCUUUGGACUGGCUUUUGACAACAGUAUAGACUUUUGAUCCCUGGACUUUGUUUAUUGAACUCUCGGCGUUUGACCAUUGGACUGGACCCUUCGACUACGGUGUAGCUUUUGCUAUCAGUUUUUGUUUAUUCUGUGACUGAGUGCUAUCUUUAUGUUUUAUAUUUUGGUCUAUUAAAACAGCCAGCAAGUAAAUGCUGUUUUAAUUAAACUGUUUUAUAUCAAA